rnacentral:rRNA from 1 species
UACGGAGGGUGCGAGCGUUGUCCGGAAUCAUUGGGCGUAAAGGGCGCGUAGGCGGCCGUCCCAAGCGUGCGGUGAAAGUCAGGGGCUCAACCCCUGAUCGGCCGUGGCGAACUGGGGGCUCGAGGCACUGUAGAGGCAGGCGGAAGUUCCGGGUGGUAGGCGGUGGAAUGCGUAGAGAUCCGGAAGAACACCGGUGGCGAAGGCGGCCUGCUGG